GACGAACGCUGGCGGCGUGCCUAAUACAUGCAAGUAGAACGCACAGUUUAUACCGUAGCUUGCUACACCAUAGACUGUGAGUUGCGAACGGGUGAGUAACGCGUAGGUAACCUGCCUGGUAGCGGGGGAUAACUAUUGGAAACGAUAGCUAAUACCGCAUAAUAUUGAUUAUUGCAUGAUAAUUGAUUGAAAGAUGCUAUUGCAUCCCUACCAGAUGGACCUGCGUUGUAUUAGCUAGUAGGUGAGGUAACGGCUCACCUAGGCGACGAUACAUAGCCGACCUGAGAGGGUGAUCGGCCACACUGGGACUGAGACACGGCCCAGACUCCUACGGGAGGCAGCAGUAGGGAAUCUUCGGCAAUGGACGAAAGUCUGACCGAGCAACGCCGCGUGAGUGAAGAAGGGUUUCGGAUCGUAAAGCUCUGUUGUAAGAGAAGAACGGGUGUGAGAGUGGAAAGUUCACACUGUGACGGUAUCUUACCAGAAAGGGACGGCUAACUACGUG
rnacentral:rRNA from 1 species